CCGCAGCUCAGCUUCCCUGCGGGUAUCUGCCGCCGGUUCACACUGUUUCUUUACGGAAGCAGCUCCUUUGUCUCGGGAUCAGGGGGGAUCCAGGGUUUCUCUGAAUCUCCCAGCUUUGCCUAGCCCCUGUCUGAGAAGAGCUGGACCGGGAUGAAACCACAGUGAGACAGAGGGGGGUGGAGGUAGAGAAGGCUCCGGUUUUCUCCGCUGCUUAAUUAGCAUGAGAAUAGAAAGACUUCUCCCUAGCCUCCCUUAGGGAUGGAGAGGAAAGAAGAGCAAAGGCUCUGGCUCUGUCCUACUUCGUCAGAGAUUCUGGGGCUGGGAAAAUGAUCACCACCAUGUUCCUCCAAUCCUCUGAGGACCCAGGGACCCACGGUACUGAGAAAAGCUUUGAUGGAGCCGGCUGGUGGAUCUCCACUCCAGAUUUUCCAGCUGUCCCUGUCCCCCCCCACCGCUCAGAGAGCAGGAUGCUGAGAUGGCUCGGUGAUGCAGAAGGUAUGUGCUUUUUCAGUUCUGGUGCUGAUGCUGUGUGUGUGGUGAGGUCUCUGUGGCGCAAUGGACGAGCGCGCUGGACUUCUAAUCCAGAGGUUCCGGGUUCGAGUCCCGGCAGAGAUGGUCACCUGGCAGGUGGAAAGGUGCCUGGCCAAAGAGUAGAGAAAUAA
rnacentral:tRNA from 1 species